rnacentral:rRNA from 1 species
UACGAAGGGGGCUAGCGUUGCUCGGAAUGACUGGGCGUAAAGGGCGCGUAGGCGGCUUGCACCGUCAGAUGUGAAAGUCCUGGGCUUAACCUGGGGACUGCAUUUGAUACUGAUUGGCUUGAAUUCGGGAGAGGAUAGCGGAAUUCCCAGUGUAGAGGUGAAAUUCGUAGAUAUUGGGAAGAACACCGGUGGCGAAGGCGGCUAUCUGGACCGACAUUGACGCUGAGGCGCGAAAGCGUGGGGAGCAAACAGG